UGGGGAAUAUUGCACAAUGGGGGAAACCCUGAUGCAGCGACGCCGCGUGAGCGAAGAAGGCUUUCGAGUCGUAAAGCUCUGUCCUAUGAGAAGAUAAUGACGGUAUCAUAGGAGGAAGCCCUGGCUAAAUACGUGCCAGCAGCCGCGGUAAUACGUAUGGGGCGAGCGUUUUCCGGAAUUAUUGGGCGUAAAGCGCGCGCAGGUGGUUUAGAAAGUCUGAUGUGAAAGCCCACGGCUCAACCGUGGAGGGUCAUUGGAAACUAAUAAACUUGAGUGCAGGAGAGAAAAGUGGAAUUCCUAGUGUAGCGGUGAAAUGCGUAGAGAUUAGGAGGAACACCGGUGGCGAAAGCGGCUUUUUGGCCUGCAACUGACACUGAGGCGCGAAAGCGUGGGGAGCAAACAGG
rnacentral:rRNA from 1 species